rnacentral:rRNA from 1 species
UACAGGGGGUGCAAACGUUGCUCGGAAUCAUUGGGCGUAAAGCGCACGUAGGCGGUUCGUUAUGUCGGAUGUGAAAGCCCUUGGCUUAACCGAGGAAGUGCAUCCGAAACUGGCGAGCUAGAGUACUAAAGAGGAUCGCGGAAUUCCCGGUGUAGAGGUGAAAUUCGUAGAUAUCGGGAGGAACACCGGUGGCGAAGGCGGCGAUCUGGGUAGAUACUGACGCUGAGGCGCGAAAGCGUGGGGAGCAAACGGG